CUCUGAGUGCUAUACAUGGCUCAGGUGUGGUAUGGUCGCUAGGGAAAGCUCUAUAUAGGAUCUGUAUCAUCUAGAGAAGAAUCUGACUGUGAGCCCAUCUAAGUAAAAGUGAGAGGAAAAAACAACAUUCUUUCUGCUUCCACCUAGACUACUUGGAUCUUGAUUUAAUGUAACAGAGACAGCAUUGAAUUCGAUGAGGCAGUGAUUUACCUCAGCGACUCCCCACCGGGAUAUGGCUACAGAACAAGAACAAUUGCGACUUCAAGAGCUUCUCUGUCCUUUCACCAGUUUCUCCUGUGGACACAGAAGAUUUCCAGUAGAACAAGAACUGGAACGGGCAAUGCGGUCCCUGAGCUAGCUCUUCCAGUAUCAGCGCAUCAGUAUUCAGGAGUCCAACUGUUUCUGUUUGCAAAGCUGUGUAGAUGAAUGCAGUCCAAAACGUAGAAGUGGACCUAAACUUUAAACACUAUUUGCUGUAGAAUUAAAGGUAAGUCUUGAACAAACAACAAGUGAAAAUUGUGCAUCUGCAGAUCUGAACAAAUAUAAAUAUCUGAUGUG
rnacentral:lncRNA from 1 species